GCACUGCUGACGAGUCCCAAAUAGGACGAAGCAGCUGUCUAGUGC
rnacentral:hammerhead_ribozyme from 1 species